GACGAACGCUGGCGGCGUGCUUAACACAUGCAAGUCGAACGGAAAGGCCCUGCUUUUGUGGGGUGCUCGAGUGGCGAACGGGUGAGUAACACGUGAGUAACCUGCCCUUGACUUUGGGAUAACUUCAGGAAACUGGGGCUAAUACCGGAUAGGAGCUCCUGCUGCAUGUUGGGGGUUGGAAAGUUUCGGCGGUUGGGGAUGUACUCGCGGCUUAUCAGCUUGUUGGUCGGGUAGUGGAUUACCAAGGCUUUGACGGGUAGCCGGCCUGAGAGGGUGACCGGCCACAAUGGGACUGAGAGACGGACCAGACUGCUACGGGAGGCAGCAGGGGGGAAUAUUGCACAAUGGGCGGAAGCCUGAUGCAGCAACGCCGCGUGCGGGAUGACGGCCUUCGGGUUGUAAACCGCUUUCGCCUGUGACGAAGCGUGAGUGACGGUAAUGGGUAAAGAAGCACCGGCUAACUACGUG
rnacentral:rRNA from 1 species